GCUUCAUGUUUGGAGAGGGGCAAGGUGGGCUUCUGAAAUGGCUAAUGCACUGUUCCCCCAGCCCGAAUGUCUCCUCUUUAGAACUCUUUCUCUGCCCCCAGUUCCCACAUCUCUCUGUCCCGUGUUGUCCUCUGGGUCCAACAGGGACCAUCUCUCAGUUUCUCGGCUCUCGCUUUGGUGUUGGCGGUGACGUGGGGGAUGGCGGGGCUUGUGCUGAGCCUGGGAGCCAGGACAGGGGCCUGGGUACCUAAGGAGCGAGGGAAGAGGGGGUGACAGGUGUAAAGGCUGCCUCUCCGUCCUUGGCGGCUUUUGAGAAUAGGGGCUCCCGCCUUCCUGCUCCCUCAUCCAGUGUGGACAGUAUCCCUCUGCCCUUCCUUCUUUUAGCUCAAAAGCUGGGAAGGAGCAGGGAGAGAAGGGACUUGGAGAAUCCUGUUCACGUAGCUUCUCGGGCCGUGGCCCAUGUGUGUUCACAGGAAGCUUCUAGCCCUGCCUGCCGCUGAGACAGGGCAGCCUCAGAACUGUCGGCAGGAAAGCCAGAUGACUUUGGACCAGGAACUAGGUGCCCAAGGCUGGCCCUUUGCUCUGUGCCUGGGGGCACGCCCCUGCCCUCUCUGGGCCCCAGCUGCCCCAGCCGCAGAGCCAAGAAGCCUGGACUGGCGGAUCUGAAGGCUCUCCUCUGGUUGAUGCUAAUUCUAAGCUUGGGUUUCCUGCAGUUGGUGAUUCUGCGGUCUGUGGCUGAGUUUCCUGAGCCCAGCAGAUGUGGGCACUGUCUGGGUUGCUGUUUUGUCCCUUGGCAUGAAUCUCCAGGGACAUGGCAGCCGCUGGUCGCGGUGUGUGGGUUCAGAUGACACAUCUGGUCCCUCCCCGCGGUGCUUCCUGGUUCCUCCUGCCCUCGGGAGCUAUUUUGCAGCCCCAAGCUCGACCUCACCCAGGGAAGGCUUCCAGCGGGAGAAGCAGUCUCCCAGAAUGUGCAGGGCCGGGCCGGAGUCUAGAAUCCCUGCUUCUCCUUUGCAAAGUCAGCAUCCAUCUUUUUCUGCUCAUCGCGGCCCCAGGAGAGGAGAAGCUGGCCCUCGCCCCAACUUGGAAUUUUCUUUGGCCCCCCCCCCCGCCCCCUACCCCUAAUCCUGCAGAGACAGGUGCAGUAGUUCCAUUUUCACAGGCGACUUUGAAGCCUGGGUUCUUUGAGGCCCCUGCAGUCACCGACCUGCUCCGGCCGCUGGCCCAGGAGGCCCAGGACUCACCACCAAAUCCCGCAGUUCCUCAGCCUGGCUCUGACCUGGGGCCCUAGGGCAGGAGGUGAGCUUGGUGGCUUGGGGCCGGCGGGGAGAGGGGAGCGGGGCCUUCCUCCAGGUCAGCUGACUUCUCUGGCCUCCGCCUGAGCCUCGAUUUGCCUCUCCGGCCCAGUGGGCAGGGGCUGUCGUGCAGCCUGCCCUGGAGGCAUCGCGGUAAAGGGCUUGCGGCCGAGAAUGAGCCAGGGUUAAGCAUGCGGGGCCCGCCAGCUGAGGCGUCCGUCCCCAGGCAUCCAGGGAGAUCUGCGUGCAAGGCUUCCCUCCCACCUCCUCGCCUUUUGGCCUUUUGUUUUGGAGCCAUGGGUGUGGCUUUUGGCCUUAGCUGGCAGUACCAUGGAUGCACGCCCCAGGCACACCGAGUCCACCCCCGGAGACGGUCCAGAGCUGCCAGUCGGAGGCCGCUCUUCUUCCUGGCAGGGGGCUGGACACUGGCCAUUUUUGCCCAAGGUUGCUGGCAGGGGGCAGUUCUGUCCCCUCCUCUGACCGGAUCUCUAGCUGCAGCACCCUGGGAGCCCUGAGCAGCCUGUGGGCCUCGCUCCUCAGCCCCAUGUUGCACCUGAGGCCCACCCCCAUCAGCUGCUGCUCUCUGGGGCUGCCUGAUCAGCCGGGAGCCAGGCUCUCUGUCCCUCUGCUGACCCUUGCUCUCCAGCCCAGGAGCAGGGACCAGCCUUGGGCAGCCCAUCUGCAGUGGCCCUGGUCUCUUUCUCACCGUGUCCGCUGCUCACUCCGUGUUGAUGGUACUUAGAGAACGCCGCGAGUUUGUAGUAUUUCACCAGGCAAUGUUUAGAGUCGUGUCGAAAGGCAAACCUGUGUGUCCUCUUUCUUUUCAUUUUGACAGCCAACUGCCUAGAUGACAGAUGCACCUGGGCUUUCGGGGACAUUGUGUCUUCUCUAGGGGGUUGGGGGAUGGGAAGAGGCAGAAAAAGCCCCACUGCUCACCUAGAGGAAAGCCACCUGAUUCCCAGCGGUUUCAGUGUCUAAGGGAUGGAAGGGAAGGCGGGCACGCCCCCUGGUGGCGAUGAGCCGUGACGGCAUGUGGGGGCCCUGACCUGCCGCAUAGGUGAUUUGAGAGGGGAGGCUGCGGAUGGGGAGGUGAAGAGGGGGCUGUGAUCUCACCCAGACCCUGGGCUUCCUGCCCCACCUUUUGGCAGCAUGUCUCCCAGACGCCUCUCUUCCUGAUCAACCCCGGGGGAUGGCAAGUGAAUUAGCAUCAAAGGCGCUGUGAUGAGAAGCCUCGCCCCACCCUUUUUUAAUAUCUGCGGAAUAAACGCAAUGGUUGAUUUUUGAACGAAUAAAAGGCUUUUGUUGAA
rnacentral:lncRNA from 1 species